GACGAACGCUGGCGGCGUGCUUAACACAUGCAGGUCGAACGGUGAAGCUCCAGCUUGCUGGAGUGGAUCAGUGGCGAACGGGUGAGUAACACGUGAGCAACCUGCCCCUGACUCUGGAAUAAGCGCUGGAAACGGCGUCUAAUACUGGAUACGAGAAGGGUCCGCAUGGGCACUUUCUGGAAAGUUUUUCGGUUGGGGAUGGGCUCGCGGCCUAUCAGCUUGUUGGUGAGGUAAUGGCUCACCAAGGCGACGACGGGUAGCCGGCCUGAGAGGGCGACCGGCCACACUGGGACUGAGACACGGCCCAGACUCCUACGGGAGGCAGCAGUGGGGAAUAUUGCACAAUGGGCGAAAGCCUGAUGCAGCGACGCCGCGUGAGGGAUGACGGCCUUCGGGUUGUAAACCUCUUUCAGCAGGGAAGAAGCGAAAGUGACGGUACCUGCAGAAGAAGCACCGGCUAACUACGUG
rnacentral:rRNA from 1 species